UACGUAGGGUGCGAGCGUUGUCCGGAAUUAUUGGGCGUAAAGGGCUCGUAGGCGGUCUGUCACGUCGGGAGUGAAAACUCGGGGCUCAACCCCGAGCCUGCUUCCGAUACGGGCAGACUAGAGGUAUGCAGGGGAGAAUGGAAUUCCUGGUGUAGCGGUGAAAUGCGCAGAUAUCAGGAGGAACACCGGUGGCGAAGGCGGUUCUCUGGGCAUUACCUGACGCUGAGGAGCGAAAGUGUGGGGAGCAAACAGG
rnacentral:rRNA from 1 species